rnacentral:rRNA from 1 species
CCUACGGGGCGCUGCAGUGAGGAAUAUUGGUCAAUGGACGAGAGUCUGAACCAGCCAAGUAGCGUGAAGGAUGACUGCCCUAUGGGUUGUAAACUUCUUUUAUAUGGGAAUAAAAUGUUCCACGUGUGGGAUUUUGUAUGUACCAUAUGAAUAAGGAUCGGCUAACUCCGUGCCAGCAGCCGCGGUAAUACGGAGGAUCCGAGCGUUAUCCGGAUUUAUUGGGUUUAAAGGGAGCGUAGGUGGAUUGUUAAGUCAGUUGUGAAAGUUUGCGGCUCAACCGUAAAAUUGCAGUUGAAACUGGCAGUCUUGAGUACAGUAGAGGUGGGCGGAAUUCGUGGUGUAGCGGUGAAAUGCUUAGAUAUCACGAAGAACUCCGAUUGCGAAGGCAGUUCACUGGACUGCAACUGACACUGAGGCUCGAAAGUGUGGGUAUCAAACAGGAUUAGAUACCCGUGUAGUC